rnacentral:rRNA from 1 species
UACAGAGGGUGCAAGCGUUGUUCGGAAUUAUUGGGCGUAAAGGGAGUGUAGGCGGUCUUGUAAGUCUUCUGUGAAAUCUACGGGCUUAACCUGUAACGUGCAGAGGAAACUGUGAGACUAGAGUGUCGGAGAGGAUAGGGGAAUACCCAGUGUAGAGGUGAAAUUCGUAGAGAUUGGGUGGAACACCAGUGGCGAAGGCGCCUGUCUGGCUGACAACUGACGCUGAGACUCGAAAGCAUGGGGAGCAAACAGG